rfam:Pteropus alecto contig48624, whole genome shotgun sequence.
AUCUACAGCCGUGCCACCUUGAACAAGCCCAAUCCCGUCUGAUCUCGGAAGCUAAGCAGAGUCGAGCGUGGUUAGUACUUGGAUGGGAGACCACCUAGGAAGACCAGGUGCUGUAGGCG